ACCAGGAGUGGUGGCACGCGCCUGUAUUCCAGCUACACUGGAGGCCAAGGCAGGAGGAUUGCUCGAGCCGGGGAGUGUUGGGCUGUAGUGCAAUAUGCCGACUGGGUGUCCGCACUAAGUUUGGCAUCAGUGUGGUUACCUCUCUGGAGCAGGGGACUAUCAGGUUGCCUACGGAGGGAUGAACUGGCCCAGGUCGGAAACGGAGCAGGUCAAAACUCCUGUGUUGAUUAGUAGUGGGAUUGAGCCUGUGAAUGAAUACCCACUGCACUCUACCAGGGCAACACAGCGAGACCCCAUCUCU
rnacentral:SRP_RNA from 1 species